AUUGAACGCUGGCGGCAGGCUUAACACAUGCAAGUCGAGCGGGGUGAUGGUGCUUGCACUAUCACUUAGCGGCGGACGGGUGAGUAAUGCUUAGGAAUCUGCCUAUUAGUGGGGGACAACAUCUCGAAAGGGAUGCUAAUACCGCAUACGUCCUACGGGAGAAAGCAGGGGAUCACUUGUGACCUUGCGCUAAUAGAUGAGCCUAAGUCGGAUUAGCUAGUUGGUGGGGUAAAGGCCUACCAAGGCGACGAUCUGUAGCGGGUCUGAGAGGAUGAUCCGCCACACUGGGACUGGGACACGGCCCAGACUCCGACGGGAGGCAGCAGUGGGGAAUAUUGGACAAUGGGGGGAACCCUGAUCCAGCCAUGCCGCGUGUGUGAAGAAGGCCUUAUGGUUGUAAAGCACUUCAAGCGAGGAGGAGGCUCUUUUGGUUAAUACCCAAGAUGAGUGGACGUUACUCGCAGAAUAAGCACCGGCUAACUCUGUGCCAGCCGCCGCCGUAA
rnacentral:rRNA from 1 species